rnacentral:lncRNA from 1 species
GUUAAGUUCUAAAGAGUGCAGCUCCGCCAUCUUGGACUGAAUGCAACACAACUUUCUAUUGAGUUUCACCUUUUGGUACUUCAAUACUCUUUGGUUUGCGUCUUAUAACAAACAUAGCGAGCAGCCGUCGGACACUAACAUCUGUUGAUCUGAUCCGUGCAGGACUUCACUGUAAGCGGACUGUGACCAGCAGGGUCUGCUCCGAGAGCCAGGGGAAGUGUGGGAGCAGCGCAUGCUUUGUCCUGACCUGACGUUACGUCUACAGACCUCUUACACACACCUGGAGGAGGCCCAGAAUCAGCUUCGACACAAGUAUAUAAGACUCCCCACUGGCAAAUUAGGAACAGGAAGUAUGCUCCACCAUCUGAGCCACAGCAGCAAUUCCUUUACUCAGCCAGCCUACGCCAAGAGCUUUAGAUAGUAGACUACACACUCACUACAAGAGGAGCCGGUCAAGACUGUUCGCCACCAACAACAUCUUUGAUAAGUGUGCUCCUCUGUACUCCAAGGCAGGCAUCAUUGUGUGACACACCUCCUUCUGGCCUGAGAAAAUUGAGAGAAGUACAAAUAAAGAUUGCUU